CAGGGAGACAAUAAAUUGAUUGUGAUGUCUAAGUUAUUUAUUCUUAGGCCGCAAUCCUGUCACCUUAAGGUCGAUCGGUACCUCAGGUUUUUGAAUUAGUUUUAUAAUUGAUUCUUUGAUUUCAGUUCCUAAACUUGUCUAGGUCACACCCAACAAAGGUUUCUCCUGGGCCAUUAGCUCAGGUGGUUAGAGCGCACCCCUGAUAAGGGUGAGGUCCCUGGUUCAAGUCCAGGAUGGCCCAUUCGUUGUUGGGGGUAUAGCUCAGUUGGUAGAGCGCCUGCUUUGCAAGCAGGAUGUCAGCGGUUCGAGUCCGCUUACCUCCACUGAAAACUAUCCUGAUAACUAAAUUCUGGAGAAAAAUUGUAGAUGUGACUUAGAAUUGUCUAUUUGAAGAGAACCUAGCUUCUUGUCAUCUUUUUAUAGUUGAUAAAAUGCUGGGCUCGCAUGGAUUAUUUCCAUGAGAAUUCAGUAGAACCUUGAAAACUGCAUAGAUUAGAAAGAAUAAAGCAUCUCAUGGAUGCAUAAUUCUAUUUUUAUAAUUUAGCCUUAAAACUAAAUUAUUUAAUUCUAGAAUUCAUGUUUAAUUCUUGAGUAAAAGCCGAGCACAAUUGAUUUUGUGAUUGUAUUUAA
rnacentral:tRNA from 2 species